GCAGCUGCUAGUGUAGUGGUUAGCAUGAUUGACUUUGGAUCUGAAGGUUGAAGGUUUGAUCCUGCCUCCAGCUGUA
rnacentral:tRNA from 1 species